rnacentral:ncRNA from 4 species
UAGCGACGUUGCUUUUUGAUCCUUC